rnacentral:rRNA from 1 species
CCUACGGGAGGCAGCAGUGGGGAAUAUUGCACAAUGGGGGAAACCCUGAUGCAGCGACGCCGCGUGAGUGAAGAAGGAUUUCGGGAUGUAAAGCUCUAGCAGCAGGGAAGAAGAAAGAGGGAACCGGACGAAGAAGCCCGGGCUAACUACGUGCCAGCAGCCGCGGUAAUAGGUCGGGGGCAAGCGUUAACCGGAUUUACGGGGUGGAAAGGGAGCGGAGACGGUAGGGCAGGGCGGACGGGAAAGCCCAGGGCUUAACCCUGGGACUGCUUUGGAACCGGUUAGACUUGAGUGCUGGAGAGGUAAGUGGACUUCCUAGUGUAGCGGUGCACUGCGUAGCUCUUAGG